AGCCAUGCAGUGAGCACAUAGCGCACUAUUCUUUCGCCUUUUACUAAAGAAUACCGUGUGCUCGCCGCAAAUAGUGGCAUACUCCAAUUUUUGGAGGGUGUUUUCCCUUUAGGGAAAA
rnacentral:snRNA from 1 species